UCUGGCAGUUCUCUGCCGGAAGUGCUGUUUCCAGGGCCAGGUUCUGGGAGCUGCAGCCGGACAGUCGUUGAGAUGUGUGGACAUGGACACGAGGUGCAAGCACUGUGUUGGUUUGACCCUUCCGAGGACUGGCAAAGUCUUAGACGCCUAAGUAGUUUCUGCUGAUGAGGACAGCACAUAUGGCCAGUGCUUUCCACGGGGGCUGUGGGAGAUGAACAGGAGGGCGGCUUGGUUUGCUUUGGCUGUUACCCCCGUCCUCUCUUGUGAGAGGUGGGGACUGAUGGAGACGCCUCCUCUGUCUCUCCCCUUUCCCCUCCCUGCUCCUCUCCACCCCUAGCAGUGUCCCACAGCGUCAGCGGCUCCUCCCGCCCUGGGAAGGAAUGGAAUGUGUCCUUUCUCCCCGUGGCUUUAUCACCAAUCUUCCUGUCUUUCAAAGCAGGGCCUGACAAGCGUGAUUUCUCAUCUCCAGGUGUGAAGGAAAUUGCCCCAUUUGGGAUUUUACUGUGCAGAUGGUUUGCCCAAGGCCUCAUGGCAGUUUGGGUUGAAAAAGUAAGCAAUCAUAACAAAAGGAAGAGGGGUCCCAGAGGCAUGGGCAGAGGUAUGGAGCCAAUUGGAGGGCCUGAAGGCUGGCAAGGAAGGAGAGGAGGAGAGUUCAUUGUUGCUGAAGUGAUCACAACCAAAUAAGAAACAGGCCUGCGGGAACCACAGAGACUUGAACUCCUGAACUCUUGGUUUUGCUCCAUUGUGCGACUUCAGGCAAGUUACCCCACACACUUCUAGGCCUCAGUGAGCUCAGAAUAAAACGGGGGCCUGUCACCUGUGAAGUUCCUUGCAGCUCUGACAUCUUAUUCUGAGGCUCUGAGCAAAAGAGACAAACUUCCCACUUUUGUUCCUUCCUGAGAUGUGAGCUCCCCAAAGUCUGGGGGCCACAGCUAUGUCCUGGGUCCUGCCUAGGAGUGCCCAGUGAGCAGGGACCUGGGGGUAGGAAAGAAAGGGAGGUGGGAUGGGUGAAGUGAACAACAGACCCAGCUGCAAACAUGUUGAAGACAGCCUUGCAGAAGACUAAGACUAGCCCAAAGUGAAGGGUGACACUUGGCACACCAGUCUUCUAGAACAAACGGUGCUGCCCAGAGGCAGCCCUACCGACUUGACACAUGAGCAGGUGAAGCUGAGGAAGCUGAGACAGCUCAAGAGGAAUUUUUCCUGCCAACAUGUACACACCCACCAGCUUCAUGCCCUCUUUUGGGUCUUCGGUCCUGUCCUCCUAUUUAUGGACUCCUCCCACAGCCCCCCAAUCUUUUCUGAUUACAUCAAUAGAUGGAGGCUCUAACCCCUGCUCCAGGACCCAUUUUCUUGUGUUGAUUGUCUUCGCUGAUGAAGCCAAGACCAGCUGUAUGCCUCCCUCUGUCCUUCCCCACAACACAGAAUGACCUUGUCAGUGAAUAAAGGAUUAUCCGCUGUUUCUCAGAGUGGCAUGAUGUUGGGUAAAAAUCCGAAGGAAUUUCUGACAAGCUACCAUAUAGAUGAAACUUGAAGACAUUAUGCUAAGUGAAAUAAGCCAGUCACAAAAUGAUAAAUAUUGUAUCAUUCCUCUUUUGAGGUCCUUAGAGUUGUCAAACUCUUAGAGACAGAAAGGAGAAUAGAGUUUUCCAGGAAUGGGGAGUUAGAGUUUAAUGGGGACAGAGUUUCAGUUUGGGAAGAUGAAAAAAAUUUCUGGGGGUGGAUGGCUGUGAAGGUUGUACUCAGUGUGAAUGUGUUUAAUGCCACAGACCUGUAGUGGUUUAAACGGUCAAUUUUAUGUUAUGUACCUAUUUCACCGCAUUUUUUAAGUGCACUGCUAAAUCCCCGCAUGAGGACCUAGUUUUGUUCUCCACUGGGUUCUUUUAGCCAGGCCGUCGAGUUCUGGAUGCCGACUAGUCUUUGGUUUAUUGUACUUACCACGCAGUCUGGGGAAUUCCCAUUUGCAUAGUUAAUGGGAUAUGUUCGUACUUGACUGAGUUUUGAUUAGCUGAUGCUUUUUUGUAUGGUAGCCAUCCCUGGGUUCUUGAUGUCUCUCACCAUACGGAACAGUGCCACACUCACCAGCACCCGAAGGAGGUGCUUUGGAAACUCAGGGUAGGAAGGGGUGGAUUUGGACGGUAAUGCAGGAGGACAGAAAGAACUGGGAUCGAUAGGAGUGUGAAGCUGUGCUCUAAUGGCCAAGGAAGGGGAAGAGACAGUAGGGAGAAAACAGUGAACAGGAGCUCAGGAUCCCUGUGGGAUGGUGAGUACACUUCACUGCAGCCUGCCAACUCUGAGUGAAUGACUCACCCGAGCCUUCCACAGCACCAGACUCUGUCAAAGCCAAAGUUCAUUGAGAACUCAGGAAAAGGAGGUUCUCUUAUCUCAUUCACUCUCUGUCUCUAUCAAUCUAUGUCACUUCCCAUCGCCCCUUGCCAUUGGCACCAGGAGCUUCAGUGCCAGGGGCAGCCUGCUGAUUAAUUACCCUUGGCCUGUGAGCGCAGGUGUGCAUAUGUCAAGGUUUCCAUGCCUGGGGAAAAUCAGGUUUGGGCUCUGAUGGCAUCCCUGCUGGUCCAGAUUCCAAAAGCCUUUCUGCUUAGGAUUUUUCUGGGACAUCAGAUAACUGUGCCACUAUUUCGUUUAGCAUUUAUUGGGCACUGACUUCAGAGCAAGGAGUGAAAUUUGAAAGUCACCUAUUCCUGUGCUCCUGUCCGUGUGCAGGUGAACCACUAGGGGAUCUUGUUAAAACCCAGCUUCUGAUUCAGUAGGUCUUGGGUGAGGCGGCACCUGAGGUUCCACAUCUCUAACACUCCUACGUGAGGCCGGUUGGAGCUGCUGAGUCCUGAACCACACUUCAAGUAGCAAGAAUCUAGCCCAGCAAAUCAGAGCCCUGACUACACAUCAGAAUCACCUGGUGAUCUUUUGCAAAACGUGGUGGCGUGGGCUUCACUUCCAAAUAUUACUAUUUACUUGGCCUGGGUACAGCCAGUCUUUGCCUAGAAACCUCCCCAGUUGAUUCUAGUGAGCAACGGGUGUUGAAAACUACAGGUCUUAUCAAAUACCUUGACUUUACAGUUUUUCAUUAAAAUCAUCGGAAAAAAUCCACCUUCAGUACCCCACCUGUUGCCCUGGAUACCUGGGAUUUGAUUUCCUGCUGUAGAAGGUUAGCUAUU